rnacentral:lncRNA from 1 species
GGACAGAGGACAACCUUCCCCUCUCCCUUUGUGACCCUCAGUUACCUCCUUCCCGUUGCCUGGUGUUUCUGCAAUCUAGGGGAACAGCCUGAAGACAGAAGACUGGACCACUUUCCCUCUGACACUGCCUUCCUGGCUCUGUGACCCUGACUCCUGGAGAGUCCAGCAGACUCAGUAAGAGAAACUUGGGAUGGCUUGAAGACCUGAGGACCUGGAUGGAGGUGGUGACUGCUCAGAUCUUGCUGUAUAGCCUAGACUAUUCGUGGGCUCAAGAUCCUCCUGCAUCAGCCUCUUAAGUUCUGGAAUUGCAGUUUCCAGGUCAGCUUCUGUCAAGAGACUUCAGAUGUGCACGGACAGGAUGGGCCAGUACUCCUUGGAGUUGGGAAGACCCACAGUAAAGGGAAAGUUUUAGAGAAUCAUCUCAACAUGUUGGCUUCCUGCUGUUUGCUCUUAAGGGUGAUCCCACCCAAUCACACAAGCAAUUGCUCCUGAGUAAUCCUGUGGGACUCUUACUCAAGCUACU